AGAAUUUGAUCUUGGUUCAGAUUGAAUGCUGACAGCGUGGAUGAGGCAUGCAAGUCGAACGAGUAGGCAACUACUAGUGGCGUAAGGGUUAGUAAUACAUGAAUAACUUACCCUCAACCUGGGGAUAACAUCUGGAAACGGGUGCUAAUACCGAAUGAGGUAAAAAGAGGCAACUCUGAUUAUCAAAGUGGGGGACCGAAAGGCCUUGCGGUUGAGGAGAGGUUCAUGCGAUAUCAGCUAGUUGGUGAGGUAAUGGCUCACCAAGGCUAAGACGUCUAGGCGGACUGAGAGGUUGACCGCCAACAUUGGGACUGAGACACUGCCCAGACUCCUACGGGAGGCUGCAGUCGAGAAUCUUUUGCAAUGGACGAAAGUCUGACAAAGCGACGCUGUGUGAAUGAUGAAGGCCUUCGGGUUGUAAAGUUCUUUCGCUUAGGAACAAGGUGAUGUUGUGAAUAACAAUAGAGCUUGAGCGUACUAAGUAAAGAAGCACCGGCUAACUCCGUGCCAGCAGCUGCGGUAAUACGGAGGGUGCAAGCAUUAAUCGGAUUUACUGGGCGUAAAGGGCGCGUAGGCGGGCUAAUAAGUUAGAUGUGAAAUUUCGGUGCUCAACACCGAAGCUGCAUUUAAAACUGUUAGUCUUGAGGAUAGGCGGAGAAAAUGGAAUUCCACGUGUAGCGGUGAAAUGCGUAGAUAUGUGGAAGAACACCGGUGGCGAAAGCGAUUUUCUAGCUUAUACCUGACGCUGAGGCGCGAGAGCAAGGGUAGCAAACAGGAUUAGAUACCCUGGUAGUCCUUGCCGUAAACGCUGUGUACUUGAUGUAGUUGGGCUCAACCCCGACUGUGUCGUAGCUAACGCGAUAAGUACACCGCCUGGGAAGUACACUCGCAAGCUUUUGAAAAAGGACAAUUUGAAAUCCUCAAUUUCAAUAGCAAUAACAAUAGCAAUACUUUAGUUCUGAAAUUGACAGCAACCGUUGGCAAAGACUUUGUAUCAACUGAUAAAAAUGUUACAAUAGUAGCGCAUAACCUCAAAGCCAAACAUAUUUUUAUUAACGGACAAGAAACAAUCUUCAAAACCAAUAACGAAUCGCUUUUCCUACCGGUAAAUUGGAAAAAAGGCACUUCGCCGGAAAUUAAAAUUGAAUACUAAGAUGAAAAAUA
rnacentral:rRNA from 1 species